UUUGGGUCUUCAGUCUCUGUGUGAGUGAUGCUGGUGGUGCCCUAGGUGGUCAUGGCACUGAAGGGGCUGCUUUGUGUUCUUUUUCUUUCCACUUCUAUUGCUUCUGGGCAGUGCCUUGACUCAGCAAUUGGCUGUCUGUUAGAUCUUCGCAGUGUAGUUGGUUCUUUGUGAAUAACUGAGUGGAGGGCAGAGAAUGUAGAGGCUGGUAUCAGCCACGUUCUGCUGUGCAAGGUGCUGUGAGGCAUGUUCUUCCUGGACUGCUGUAGGAUUGCUGGAGAGAAUUCUGUAACCCAUCCACCAGAUCAGUUUGAGAAGGAAAUGCAUUUACUGUACACUGGAGAAGCUGGAUGAAGAAGAGAUGUGGAAAAAGCCAGAAGACAACUAAGUCUGGAGCUUCAGCUGGGAGAGCAAGGCUAGACCUUGAGAACAGCAAAGGAAAUUUGAAAAGGGCUGAAUGUCCUUGGAACUGUUUCCCCUGUGGAGGAUGGAAGAACUGAGGAGCCCAUGAUGGGAAGGAAGAACAGUUUGUUUUUGAGGGAGCAACACAGCUAAGCUACAGGCUUGGAAUGUGUACCACAUCAUCAAAUUCUGCUGUGUAUCUGGGAUCCAAGUUCUUAUGAAAACUGUCAGUUUUUAUUUAGUAUUGACCAGUUUUUUGCUAUGGCCACUGACAGUCAAUGAACUAAAAAAGCAUAUAUGAACUCAGCUUCUGUGGAGUCUCUGUAGAGAAGAUCUUGGCGGCCAGAGAAUCAGAAGAGAAAGGACUUUCAGCAAUCUCAGAUGCUGCUUUCCUAAAAGAAGCAGUAGGAUCUCUUCUCUUGUUCCUCUCAUUCGUUUUCACCUCACUGCUGACAGUCACUAUCUACAGCCUUGGAGGUAAGCCAACACCAGUACCACUUUGUGAGUCAAGUGUCAGGACAUGGCAUGGAGCAGUAGUGCCUGAAAUCUUCCCGUGUCCUCAGAGAUAACAAAGCCAGGUGUUCUUGAGAGCUGAAGUUCAGUUCCCAUCACCUUAUGUUAGGCCUGGAAUCUCAAAAGGGCAAGCGGUGUGGCAGUGUGUGUUGACAAGUCAGAGGACAGGCUUGCUCUGAACAUUGACUUUCUGAGGAGUGGGAGAAGGCUGGUUGUAUACACACACUUGCUAGAUACUAUUCUUACAUAUGUAACUGGUUUGAAGAGUCCACUUCUGCAGUAUCUGGGCACUGUAAGUGACAGUCAUAAAAGAUAGCUAAGACCUGGGGCCCGGGGUUCCUGCUGAUGUAAAUCAGCACAAAGCUGGGCAGAGAGAGGCUGAUUGCAACCCAGACUGUGGCAUACAGUUUAGGGGAUAAGUAUGAGUACAACACUGGGGAGGGGGUUAAUAAGCGUUUGGACCUCUCAUUAGCGCUGUUCAACAUGCAGUCCCAUCUGACUAAGGCCCUUGUCAAAGCAAGGCUGUGUCCAUCAUGUCUCCACAUAUGUUAUAUCUUAUCAGCUAUUGACAAAAAGUUUGUUGAAAUUGCCAAUAUUACUUUUACAGAUAGGCAAGACAAAUAGUCGCUCAUCUAGUUUAUUUGCUGAGAAAUCAGACUCAGUUCAGCUGAAACUGUUUGCACUCAAACUUGGCAAACAAUUUGAGCCAAAUCUUUCCACCCUGGAAAAAAAUGAGUGAAGUGAAAGCUGUCAUUUCAGCAUUUUCUACGUGAAAUGUUUAGGCUUUGUUUCUAAAUGGGGCUCCAAAAUCAGAUUCAAUGACAUUUCAAUAAAUCUGAAAGUAAAGGAGUGUCCUCAAACAGCAAGCAAGUUGUCUCCCUUCUACAGAAUGUAAAGAAACACUUAUAUCAGUCUGAAAUGCAUUUUUUCCUAAAUUUCCUUUUUAGCAAGAAAACUGAGACAUUUAAUGCUUUUACCCUAAAGAGUUAAAAAUGAAUAACCUGGAGGAUUACUUCCUCACCCGUUCCUGAUUCAGGCUCAUUUUGUGCUGAGGAAGCAGUGUUAUCUAGUCCUAGCUAUCUCAGUGUCACCAGCUUAGCGCUGUAAAUCACUAUCAGGACUCCAACCAGUUGUCAUGGGGGUGCUGGAACAGCGAUACGGUGGUAAAUUUUCUUCAUGUUCCAGUUGUUUAUGUUUUAUAUGAGGGAGUGAGAAUGUCUACAGCAUUUUUAUCAGAUAAAGCCACGAAGCAGGAUAAAUGAGGGGAAAUGGGAGAAAGAAACAUUUACAGCCCACCAUCACAGCAGAAAUUUGCUUCAGUGAAAAAAGUGACUGGAGAGAAACAUACAAAAAUAACUUAGGAUGUGUUUGGUUAAAAUAAGACGAAAUCUCAGCAUUUUGGCUAAACUAAGUGGAGGAAUCAGAUACUAACUGUAUAUCUGCAGACAGGAAUACUAUGGAUGUGGACCUGUUAAAUGAUCAAAUGCGUGUUAUGUGUGGAACCUUGUUUAAAUUUGAAUGUUAAUACCACUCAGAAGAUUUACAGAAACUGUUUGAUUCUUAAUACCUCUUCUAAAGAUAUAUCUCUACAGUUAAAGUGUGUUUAUUGCUCAAUAAUAAACAGUGUCGACAGGAAACUCUUACAGAAUAAACAUCAUCCGUAUGUU
ensembl:lncRNA